GACGAACGCUGGCGGCGGGCUUAACACAUGCAAGUCGAACGGAAAGGCCCUGCUUGUGUGGGGUGCUCGAGUGGCGAACGGGUGAGUAACACGUGAGUAACCUGACCUAGACUUUGGGAUAACUUCAGGAAACUGGGGCUAAUACCGGAUAGGAGCUCCCGCUGCAUGGUGGGGGUUGGAAAGUUUCGGCGGUUGGGGAUGGACUCGCGGCUUAUCAGCUUGUUGGUUGGGUAGUGGCUUACCAAGGAUUUGACGGGUAGCCGGCCUGAGAGGGUGACCGGCGACAAUGGGACUGAGAGAGGGCGCAGAGGCGUACAGUGGGCAGCAGUGGGGAAUAUUGCACAGUGGGCGGAAGCGGGAUGCAGCGGCGCCGCGUGCGUGAAGACGGCCUUCGGGUUGAGAACCGCAUUCGGCUGUGACGAAGCGUGAGUGACGGUAAUGAGUGAAGAAGCACCGGCUAACUACGUG
rnacentral:rRNA from 1 species